GGAGAGAUGGCUCAGUGGUUAAGAGCACUGGCUGCUCUUGCAGAGGACCUGGGUUCAAUUCCCAGCACCUACA
rnacentral:tRNA from 1 species